rnacentral:rRNA from 1 species
CCUACGGGAGGCAGCAGUGGGGAAUUUUGGACAAUGGGCGCAAGCCUGAUCCAGCAAUGCCGCGUGAGUGAAGAAGGCCUUCGGGUUGUAAAGCUCUUUUGUCAGGGAAGAAACGGAUUUUUCUAAUACAGAGAUCUAAUGACGGUACCUGAAGAAUAAGCACCGGCUAACUACGUGCCAGCAGCCGCGGUAAUACGUAGGGUGCAAGCGUUAAUCGGAAUUACUGGGCGUAAAGCGUGCGCAGGCGGUUUUGUAAGUUUGUCGUGAAAUCCCCGGGCUCAACCUGGGAAUGGCGAUGAAGACUGCAAGGCUAGAGUUUGGCAGAGGGGGGUAGAAUUCCACGUGUAGCAGUGAAAUGCGUAGAUAUGUGGAGGAACACCGAUGGCGAAGGCAGCCCCCUGGGUCAAAACUGACGCUCAUGCACGAAAGCGUGGGGAGCAAACAGGAUUAGAUACCCUGGUAGUCCACGCCCUAAACGAUGUCUACUAGUUGUCGGGUCUUAAUUGACUUGGUAACGCAGCUAACGCGUGAAGUAGACCGCCUGGGGAGUACGGUCGCAAGAUUAAAACUCAAAGGAAUUGACGG